rnacentral:rRNA from 1 species
AGAGUUUGAUUCUGGCUCAGAACGAACGCUGGCAGCGUGGAUGAGGCAUGCAAGUCGAACGCGAUUCCCGGGGUUCAAUUCUUCGGAAAAGAAUCCUGGGAUGAGAGUGGCGCAAGGGCGAGUAACGCGUGGGUAACCUGCCUCCAAGUUGGGGACAACCUUCCGAAGGGAAGGCUAAUACCGAAUGUGGUCUUGCCUCGCAUGAGGUGAUGACUAAAGGUGGGGAUUCUUCGGAACCUGCCGCUUAGAGAGGGGCCCGCGUACCAUCAGCUAGUUGGUGAGGUGACGGCUCACCAAGGCUUACGGUUAGCUGGUCUGAGAGGAUGGUCAGCCGCACUGGGACUGAGACACUGCCCAGACUCCUACGGGAGGCUGCAGUCGAGGAUCUUUUGCAAUGCGCGAAAGCGUGACAAAGCGACGCUGCGUGGAGGAUGAAGGCCUUCGGGUUGUAAACUCCUGUCAUUCGGGAAAAAUGGUCUCGGGGUGAAUAUCCCCGGGGCGUGAUGGUACCGGAAGAGGAAGCCACGGCUAACUCUGUGCCAGCAGCCGCGGUAAUACAGAGGUGGCAAGCGUUGUUCGGAUUUACUGGGCGUAAAGGGUGCGUAGGCGGUUCCGUUCGUCGGAUGUGAAAUCCCACUGCUCAACGGUGGGAUGGCAUUCGAAACCACGGAGCUCGAGUGCAGGAGGGGAGAGCGGAAUUCUUGGUGUAGCGGUGAAAUGCGUUGAUAUCAAGAGGAACGCCGGUGGCGAAGGCGGCUCUCUGGAAUGCUACUGACGCUGAGGCACGAAAGCUGGGGGAGCAAACAGGAUUAGAUACCCUGGUAGUCCCAGCCCUAAACGGUGCGCACUUGGUGUUGAGGGAAUUGACCCCCUCAGUGCCGGAGCUAACGCGUUAAGUGCGCCGCCUGGGAAGUACGGCCGCAAGGUUAAAACUCAAAGAAAUUGACGGGGGCCCGCACAAGCGGAGGAGCAUGUGGCUUAAUUCGAUCCACGCGAAGAACCUUACCAGGGCUUGACAUGUAGCUGCAGGCCCCGUGAAAGCGGGGCGGCCUUCGAGGGUGCUACACAGGUGCUGCAUGGCUGUCGUCAGUUCGUGCCGUGAGGUGUUGGGUUAAGUCCCGCAACGAACGCAACCCCUGUGUUUAGUUGCCACCAUCGGUGAUGAGCCGGUGAGCACUCUAAACAGACUGCCCGUACAAGCGGGAGGAAGGUGGGGAUGACGUCAAGUCAGUAUGGCCCUUACGUCCUGGGCUGCACACGUGCUACAAUGGCUGGUACAGUGGGAAGCAAGACCGCGAGGUGGAGCAAAUCCUCAAAACCAGCCCCAGUUCAGAUUGAAGUCUGAAACUCGACUUCAUGAAGUUGGAUUCGCUAGUAAUGGCGCAUCAGCUACGGCGCCGUGAAUACGUUCCCGGGCCUUGUACACACCGCCCGUCACAUCAUGAAAGCCGUCUGCACCCGAAGUCGCUAAUCCAACCCGCAAGGGAGGAAGGUGCCUAAGGUGUGGGUGGUGAUUGGGAUGAAGUCGUAACAAGGUA